AGUGAACGCUGGCGGUAGGCCUAACACAUGCAAGUCGAACGGCAGCACAGUAAGAGCUUGCUCUUACGGGUGGCGAGUGGCGGGCGGGUGAGGCGUACAUCGGACUCUACUUUUUCGUGGGGGAUAACGUAGGGAAACUUACGCUAAUACCGCAUACGACCUACGGCUGAAACCAGGGGAUCUUCGGACCUUGCGCGAUUGAAUGGGCCGAUGUCGGAUUAGCUAGUUGGCGGGGUAAAGGCCCACCAAGGCGACGAUCCGUAGCUGGUCUGAGAGGAUGAGCGGCCCCAACGGGAAAGAGAGACCGCCCCGAGUCCCCCAGGGGGGGGCAGUGGGGAAACUUUCGCAAAGGGGGCGAAACUGUCGGCGCACCGCCCCGUGGGGGAUGAGGGGCCUCGGGUUGUAAAGCGCUGUUUUUUGGGAAAAAAAGACUUCCUGCGAAUAGCCCGAAGGUUUGACGGUACCCAAAGAGAAAGCCACGGCUAACUACGGG
rnacentral:rRNA from 1 species